GGGGCGGAGGCGGAGGCGGGAAAGGGAGCGGGAGCGGGGCGGGACGCUCACCUGCACGCACGCGCGGCGGGCUCGGAGGGCGCUCACCUGAGCGCGCGCGCCGGUAGGGGGCGCGGCUGUGCGUGGCGGGCGUGCAGGCGCGCGGGGAGCGUGUGCGGGGCUGAGGGCCCGGGAAGGGGGUGACUCGCUGCUCUGCGCCCCGCUCAGCGGAUACCCCUGCGCCCGCCGCGCCUAGUCUUGCCGGACGCGUCCUUUCCGUGACCCCGGAAGGAACCCUCGGACGGACGUUAUGCAUAUGAUGAAAGAUUCCAAGGGCAGGAACCCUUUUCUGAUGAAACCCCUGAAUGUUCAGCCAAAAUAAAGAGCACCAAUAGCUGAUGGCCAAAGAAUGGAAGGGGUGUGUUCAAGAGAAAUUUCCUGAAAGCAUUUGCAGUCGACCAAUCCAGAAGAGCAUCGAAGUUUGUAGAACCUGAGCCCCUAUCAAGAGCCAGUGAUAAAUCAAACAAGAGGACUCUACUCCUAGAGAAUCAGUACUUUCGGUGUGGGCCUGUCUCCCAGUGCUUCUUAGAACAUUGAAGACACGCAGUUAUCUCUUGUCUCAUUUCCAUGUGUUGAAUAACUUUUCUUAAUACUCUACAAAAUAAAACAAAAAGUAGUUUCUAUACCUUAUCCCCAAGGUUCCUCUAGAAGAAAGAAAAUUAUCAAGGGCAGGUUGAGUCAUCAGAGCCUGAGGGAUACCCCUCCCUCCAUGUAAGCUGUCCCCAUGCAUAAUUAAGAAUCAUCCCCCUACAGUAGCCACCAUUUCAAAAGGCUGCAAAAGGUUUAGCGCUCAACCCCUCAAGCCCCUACCCAAAAAAUAAGUUUUAGAACCCAGGCAGGAUAGAGUUCAGGCUCCAGGACUAGGCCCACCCAGAUAAUCGAGGAUAAUUUCUCUAUUUUAAGAUUCUUAAUCAUAUCUGCAAAGUUGAUUUUGCUACAUGAGGCAGCAUAGUCACAGUUGCCAGGGAGGAGGCCGUGGACUUCUUGGAGGGGCGUGUUAUGGGACAGAGAUUCAGCAGUCCUUUGGCUGGGUGGUUCAUGAGCCUCCUGUGAGGCUACAGCCAAGAGUUCGGUUGGGCUGCAGUUAUCUAGGCUUUAAUGGGGCUCGGGGAUCUGCUCCAAAAGUCAGCCACUCACGUGGUGGACAAGUUAUCGCUGCUGCUGUUGGGGGCGGGGGCCUCAGUUCCUCUUCAUUGGGGCUGUCCAAAGGACUGCUUGGGUAUCAAGACAUGGCAGCUGGCUUUCCCCAGAGCAAGAGAUCCAUGAGACCAAAGUGGAAGCUGCAGUGUUUUUUAUUUUGACCUUUGCCUUGGGAGUCACAUGCUAUCACCACUUCAGUGGAAUCAUUGGUUACGCAGGUCAGCACUUAUUGCCUGUGGAAGGAUCAUGUGAGGCCAUGACCACUGGAAGGCAAGGAUCACUGGGCUGUUGUGGAGGCUGACUAUCCCUAAUGGGUGUUAUCUCUGGUUUUUUUUUUUUUUUUUUAAAGAUUUUAUUUAUUUAUUUGAGAGAGAGAGG